CCUUUACCCCCAUUUGGUAUUGGUGUAAAACGCUAUCCGAUCAGAUUGGUAGGGCCCGGGUCUCAUUUAUACAAAGGCCCCAUCCCAGUGCACUGGCAGAUUAAAGGGGCCGUAAAGCAGGUGUAUUCACUUGAAAGCCACUUUAAGGCUAGAGGCGUAAGCGGUCGAGGGGCUUGUCUGCGCAGUUGACCCGAGUAGCUAUUGCCAGGUAAAUUAUUCCACAGUAGCCGCGCGGGUGGAUGGUCUCACUCUGGACGAGCUAGCAGUUUACAGAGGGGUUUGUUCGUUAGAUGUGUGAGUCUCUGAGGUGCCACAAGGACUCCUCGUUGCUCUAGCCGUUUAAAUUCACUCCCUGCCUUACACUGGACUAGCUUCCCCAUGCAGACAAGGCCCUUGUAUAAGACAGAAUCUCUCCCAUAGUAUUUUGUGCCCCCUUUGCACCAGUGCCAAUGAGAUCACAAGGUUCAGGGCCCCUUUAGACCCUCAUCGUUCCUGCAAAUUGCUGGUGAACAGCCCUGUCCUGUCACAGCUGCUGGGUCCCUUCCUUGAUACGGUUGCUAAGGCUCCCCCGGCUGCAUGCAACACUGCAGCUGCCAGCUCACAGGAAGAGGGAUGGUUUCGGUUCCCGUGUGGCUGAGGAAUGGAAACCGCCCAGCCUCUGUGCAAACGGGGAAGGAGACCAGUCAACUCGCAUCAGAGGCAACAGGCAACACCAGCGUGGAGACACAGCUCCGUCAGCUCGGGUCAGAAUGGAUUACCAACUGCCAGCCAUCCUGGAAUCUGACAGCGAGUCAUCGGAGGAUGAAGAAGUGGCUACGCAUGAGGCCCUCCUCCAGGAGAGGGAUGAAGCUAAAGAGAAGCUGUCUGAGUUUGAGCAAGGUGAACAGGGAGAACAAAAAGCUGAAGCGGAUCAGCGUGGCACUGUUGCCCAUGUUGAACCAGCUUCCUGAGGAUGUGCUGAGUCUGGCCACUGAAGUAGACUCCCCCGCGGACCCAAGUCGAGAUCCAGCAUAUCCGUACCUGCAGCAGAUCAAAGAUUUGCAGGAAAAGGUUUCCAGGCUGCUGGGGGAGAAGAAGGAACUCACCAUCCAAGUGCAGGAGCUGCAGAGCCAGAUCAGAGACCUCGGGGAGCAGGUGGAAGAGGAGCGAGCAGAGAGGGGGUCCCUGCAGGCCGCGAUGGACAGGAGUCACAAGGCCCUGAAGAAGUACAAGAGAGUGUCCCAGAUGGCCGCUCAGGAGUACAGCGAGGCCGUGCAGCAGCUGGAGCUGGAGCAGGACCUGAGGCAGCAUGCAGAGACCUUUGCCCACGAGAUGCUGGUGAAGCAGAAGGAAGCCAACAGGCAGAGCAUGAUCCUGCUCCAGAACGUGGGACCCAACGCCCAGCUGCUCCAGGCCCUGGAGGAGGUGGCUAGCCUGACUGGGAUGCUGGAGGAAGCCAAGCAGGAGCAGCAGAAAAAAGUGAAGGGUCUGGAAGAGCAGCUAGGGGAGAGCCAGGAGGAGCUGGGCGCAGUGCGAGCGGCCCUGGCUGCAGCCGAAGCAGAGAAGCUGGAGCUGGGGAAGCAGCUGCACCAGGCGGAGGAGAGGAACAUGGAGUUGGAGGGGAAAGUGACGUUACUAGAAGAGAAAUUGGAGAUGGCUGAAGCCCCGCCUUCUGAACCUGAUUCGCCAGAAGUGGCUCCGCCCCCACCCCCGCCACCUCCACCUCCUCUGCCACCGCCAGCAUCUUCCGCCCCCGUGGAUCCCCUUUUGAUGAUCAAACAAAGGAAGGGGACGCGGCAACAGAAACCCAGCAAACCUGCUACCGAUGACAUAAAAGCUCAAGCAGUGGAGGAAAUGAUGGCCAGGAUCAAGAGCGGGGUUGCCCUGAGACCAGCAAAGAAGGACAGGGCUGCAUUGUCCCAGGAUCACUCAACAGCAGCCAGCAAACGCAAGAGCACCGUGAUGGAGCUGCAAGGGAUCCUGGGCACAAUGAAAAGGCCGGUCAGAAAACAGAGCUGGCGUAAACACAGCCGAAAGAUCAACGACGCCCAGCUGCAGUCCAUCCUGCAGAGACGGCGCAAGAUGGUGGACUCCUCCACUCCCGCCCAGCCCUUGCCGCUGCAGGCAGAGCUCAGAAAAGAGGUGACAGUGAAAUUUGCAAAGCUGUGUCCAGCCCAUGCUCAGAGGAGAAUGCAGCUGUUGUCCAGUUAAGAGCAAGAUCAGUGCACCUUCAGAAUAGCAGGCGAAUGGCUCUCCUGAAUGAAGCAGAGGACAAGCCGGCACAGAGAGAGUCUACCUGAAAACCAGCCAUCCUGCUGCACCACAAUACACUGCAUGGCCGCCUGGUCUCGCACCCUGCCGAUGCUCCUUGCAGUACCUGCCCCACCCGCGUAUCUUUCAGUCACGCAAACAUUCAGAGCAUGAGCUCGGCCUGAGGAUGCAAUUCUCGAAUUGGGCUUGUUAGCGCAAAGUGCAGCCAGAUGCACAGCCUGCUUGCUUGCACAUACUAGCUUGCUCCACUUGCCUCGGUGGUUGCUGAGAGAUGCAUUGUCAUUGGCCAGUGGAACGUGGUUUUGUUGACAGUGGUUUGUAAAGAUCAUCCAUCCCUGUGGAUCAGAUUAUCCCAUUAGCUAGCUCCUCUUUCAACGGCCAAACGUAAUUUCACACUCUUCCUGAGGACUGAUAGGCUGCAGAUAAGAAGGCUGCAGCUUAUGGGAGCAUCCGUUCGAGUCCAUUCUUUUCUAACUGAGCAGCUGUGACAAUAACAGAUCCAUCAAUAACAACAUUCAGCCCUG